rnacentral:rRNA from 1 species
AGUAGUUUGAUCAUGGCUCAGGACGAACGCUGGCGGCGCGCCUAACACAUGCAAGUCGAACGGAGCUUUUUCUGACAGCGACUUCGGUCAACGGAGGGGAAAGCUUAGUGGCGAACGGGUGAGUAACGCGUGAGUAACCUGCCUCGUAGAGGGGGACAACAGUUGGAAACGACUGCUAAUACCGCAUAAGCCCACACUGCCGCAUGGCAGAGUGAGAAAAGGAGCAAUCCGCUAUGAGAUGGACUCGCGUCUGAUUAGCCAGUUGGCGGGGUAACGGCCCACCAAAGCGACGAUCAGUAGCCGGACUGAGAGGUUGAUCGGCCACAUUGGGACUGAGACACGGCCCAGACUCC